rnacentral:rRNA from 1 species
AGCAAAUCGCAAAGUGAAAACAGGCGAUAAAUCAUUCAAGUUUCUGACCUAUCAGCUUUCGACGGUAUGGUAUUGGCUUACCGUGGCGGUGACGGUUAACGGGGGAUUAGGGUUCGAUUCCGGAGAGGGAGCCUGAGAAACGGCUACCACAUCUAAGGAAGGCAGCAGGCGCGCAAAUUACCCAAUUCUAACAGUUUGAGAGAGGUAGUAACAAGAAAUAACAAUACAAGGCAAUUAAAAUGUUUUGUAAUUGGAAUGAUAGAAAUUUAAACCCUUUUUAAAGUAUCAAUUGGAGGGCAAGUCUGGUGCCAGCAGCCGCGGUAAUUCCAGCUCCAAUAGCGUAUAUUAAAAUUGUUGCAGUUAAAAAGCUCGUAGUUGAAGUUCUGCUAAAAGUAACCGGUCUGCUU